rnacentral:lncRNA from 1 species
CUCACAUUGCCUCACCCUCCUAUAUUAUAUUAUCCCGACACCACAUCUUUCACAAACUUGCUAUUAUUUCCUCCCCAGAAAAAGAAAAAUGGCUUUCAUCAUUUCUAAAGCUCCACCACAACAAAAGCAACCAUCUUUCUCAGAAGCUGAGAAGAAAGAUGGGCAUGAAGAACUCUCAGAAGCACAGAGUACUUCCAUCACCAGGCAUGUCUACUUGAAAUCAUCUGCUGCUGCUGCCAUGGACAGAGAUGUUGUUCUUCGACGCAUUCGUCACCAUAAGAACUUGAGCAAGGUCAGAAGUGCUUUUCAAGCUCUGAUGGGCAGCUCACAGGAAGCUGCUUCUAUGGCCUCAGUGGACCAGACAUGGCUGCACCAGGAGGACAUUUUCUCUUCCCCUUAAGUCUUUAGUUUAUUGAUCUUGUAGUUUUACUUUGUAUGUAGUACAAGUAGAUGGAAAGCUAUUAUGUCUUAAGCAGGCUUUGGCCAAAGCCAUGAUUAACUGCUUGUUAAAUACCAGUACGGCUUCAACUCAUUAUGCAUCUACUUAUGUCAUGCCUUCAACCCAUCUGAAGAUUAUAAGCUUUCUUGCUCAUCAAAAUUGAAACAUGUAAGUUGAUCAGUGAGCUGAUAUCAGUGCAAUCUGCAAGCCCCUUGAUAUGAUCUUGAGCAAGAAACAGAUCACUGACUUGAAAGGGACCUGAAGGGCAAUUUAAUUACUUUUGGUGGUCUGAAUCAGAAUUUGAGUAGAUAGACACUAAUUAAAGUAGC